rnacentral:rRNA from 1 species
CCUACGGGUGGCAGCAGUGAGGAAUAUUGGUCAAUGGGCGCGAGCCUGAACCAGCCAAGUAGCGUGAAGGAUGACUGCCCUACGGGUUGUAAACUUCUUUUAUAAAGGAAUAAAGUGAGGCACGUGUGCCUUUUUGUAUGUACUUUAUGAAUAAGGAUCGGCUAACUCCGUGCCAGCAGCCGCGGUAAUACGGAGGAUCCGAGCGUUAUCCGGAUUUAUUGGGGUUAAAGGGAGCGUAGAUGGGUUGUUAAGUCAGUUGUGAAAUGUCCGGGCUCAACCCGGGCCUUGCAGCGCGAACUGGCGUGCUUGAGUCCGCGGAAAGUAGGCGGAAUUCGUCGUGUAGCGGUGAAAUGCUUAGAUAUGACGAAGAACCCCGAUUGCGAAGGCAGCUUGCUGCAGCGGAACUGACGCUGAUGCUCGAAAGCGCGGGUAUCGAACAGGAUUAGAUACCCUUGUAGUC